rnacentral:rRNA from 1 species
UGGGAUGAGUGGCGAACGGGUGAGUAACACGUGAGUAACCUGCCCCCUUCUUUGGAUAACGCCCGGAAACGGGUGCUAAUACUGGAUAUUCACUGGCCUUCGCAUGGGGGUUGGUGGAAAGGUUUGUUCUGGUGGGGGAUGGGCUCGCGGCCUAUCAGCUUGUUGGUGGGGUGAUGGCCUACCAAGGCUUUGACGGGUAGCCGGCCUGAGAGGGUGACCGGUCACAUUGGGACUGAGAUACGGCCCAG